AGAGUUUGAUCCUGGCUCAGGACGAACGCUGGCGGCGGGCCUAACACAUGCAAGUCGAACGCACUCGACCUUCGGGUCACAUGAGUGAGUGGCGAACGGGUGAGUAACACGUGAGGAACCUGCCCCGAAGACUGGAAUAACCCGAGGAAACUCGGGCUAAUACCGGAUAUCCCCACCAGGUCGCAUGGCCAGGUGAGGAAAUGCUCCGGCGCUUCGGGAGGGUCUCGCGGCCUAUCAGCUAGUUGGUGAGGUAACGGCUCACCAAGGCAUCGACGGGUAGCUGGUCUGAGAGGACGAUCAGCCACACUGGGACUGAGACACGGCCCAGACUCCUACGGGAGGCAGCAGUGGGGAAUCUUGCGCAAUGGGCGAAAGCCUGACGCAGCCACGCCGCGUGAGGGAUGAAGGCUUUCGGGUUGUAAACCUCUUUCAGCAGGGACGAAAAUGACGGUACCUGCAGAAGAAGCUCCGGCCAACUACGUGCCAGCAGCCGCGGUAACACGUAGGGAGCAAGCGUUGUCCGGAUUUAUUGGGCGUAAAGAGCUCGUAGGCGGUUCAGUCAGUCGGGUGUGAAAACUUGAGGCUCAACCUC
rnacentral:rRNA from 1 species